rnacentral:tRNA from 1 species
AAUAAAGUGCCUGAUUAAAGGAUUAUUCUGAUAGAAUAAAUUAAGUAGAGUAUCUACCUUUAUUA